rnacentral:rRNA from 1 species
AUUGAACGCUGGCGGCAUGCCUUACACAUGCAAGUCGAACGGCAGCACGGGAGCAAUCCUGGUGGCGAGUGGCGAACGGGUGAGUAAUAUAUCGGAACGUGCCCAGUCGUGGGGAUAACGUAGCGAAAGCUACGCUAAUACCGCAUACGAUCUAUGGAUGAAAGCGGGGGAUCGCAAGACCUCGCGCGAUUGGAGCGGCCGAUAUCAGAUUAGGUAGUUGGUGAGGUAAAGGCUCACCAAGCCGACGAUCUGUAGCUGGUCUGAGAGGACGACCAGCCACACUGGGACUGAGACACGGCCCAGACUCCUACGGGAGGCAGCAGUGGGGAAUUUUGGGACAAUGGGCGCAAGCCUGAUCCAGCAAUGCCGCGUGCAGGAUGAAGGCCUUCGGGUUGUAAACUGCUUUGUACGGAACGAACGGUGAGCUCUAAUACAGUUUGCUAAUGACGGUACCGUAAGAAUAAG